rnacentral:lncRNA from 10 species
GAAGCAUUGCGUAUUAACUGCAUUGGUUAACCAACAUUGGAACCCAAUACUCUUGUAUUAGGCCCGCAUUUACCUGAGUAAACUCAGUGGUUUUCUGUCCUAAGCAUGCUUGCCUGCUACAUCCCAUGGAGAAAAUAAACAGUGAAACACUUUCCUCAUCUUCAAGGCAAUUGUCUCAGGCAUCCUCCAGGCAUCAUGAAGGAGGGUGAGCGAGGGUGCGAGGUGGAAAGGUCCAGGCCGCGGCUGUGACUCCCGCGGGUGAACCACAGCUCCACAGCCCCAAAUCCAAAGAUGCUCUUGCUGCAGCACGACAAGUGUUCAAAAGAGAACCAGGCCCAGCCCGGAGAAAGGAAAGCCAAAAGCCAACUGAAUGAAUGACCCUCCCCCAGAAGAGCAACCCUGCCCCCAGGCCAUCCAAGUGCGGUGAGUUGAGAAAUGAAUUGACAGACGCUGCAGGGCUGGAGCAGGAGGCGGAAGCAGGUUGGAAGGCUGUUGUGUGCCACCCCUCCCUGGGAGCUGGGGAGAUUCCCAAGUCUUAGUGCAGUGUUUCUCUACAAACGGGGUCAGGAGACCCUCACUGGCAGGCUGACAACUUGGAAGCAGACUGUGGGAGCAAUAGGCUGGAGUUUUCAUUUUCCCUUUAAACUCAAGACCGGAAGGUUUGUGUUAUGCGAUACCAUAUGCUGUGUAGAAAACAGGGCCUCAGCUUCUUAGAUGUUGUAGUUCUAGAGUUUAGGUACUUCCACCCUCUCUCCUAUACAUAAACACUCUGUGGAAGAGGUUCUUUGAAAAUUGGGGUGGUGCAGGAAGGGCAACGGUGAUGGUGAGCAGGCCCCAGGGUCGGCCCUGCCGCCCUGCCGUGUGGGGUAGGGAGACAGCUGGUGGUGUGGACACAUUCACAGAACUUUGUACUGGUCCUGGGAAGAUACAAGUCCUCACUUGGUCGCCAUCCCUCAUAUUUUCUAGUGUUUUCUUUUCCAGUCAACUUUUCUUGAUGAAUGACUGCAUGUAAGAGGAUAUUAAGAAAAGUGGCCAAAUGAUUUCCUUUUUUUUUCCUUUCUCUCCAAGAACAUUACCAGGUGCCAGCAGGGAAAGGACUCCGCUGCCUGACGCCUCUCCCACCUGAGAGCGCAGAGUUCACCCUUUGGUGACCUCCACCGUGGCUGCAGACUUCAGGUGGUCCUCACGCAUUCACAGAACUGUCUGCUUAGGUUACAGCACUUUGGGAGGCCGAGGUGGGUAGAUCACGAGGUCAGGAGAUCGAGACCAUAUUGACCAACAUGGUAAAACCCCAUCUCUACUAAAAUACAAAAAUUAGCCGGGCGUGGUGGCGGGUGCCUGUAGUCCCAGCUACUUGGGAGGCUGAGGCAGGGGAAUCACUUGAACCUGGGAGGCGGAGGUUGCAGUGAACUGAGAUUGCGCCACUGCACUCCAGCCUGGGUGACAGAGACUUCCUCUCAAAAUAAAAAUAAAAAUAAUAAAAUAAUAAAUGGUUCUUUUCUAUGCGUCUAAUGAAUUUAAGUGCUUGUUAAGACUAAAAACCAUGUUAUGCAUUUCCUGCUCUUAAAACUAAAUUAUGUAGAAAGUAAGCUAGGGAGUGUAAGGGUAGGCAUCUGGAUAUAAAUGCUUCUCCCAAAUCAAGAUUUUCUCUUCAAUCUGUGCCUUUGACCCUGUCACCAAAGGCAGGUGACAGAAAAAAAAAAUUAUGUGCCUUUUGGAAGACUCAGUGGGACGGUUCUGAUUUCAUUCACUUCUGGUGCCAGCAGGCCCCCAUACCAUGUGGCCAUUGCUGUUUCGUGUCUCUUCCUGCAUAAAUAAUGCAGAGAGGCCAUGCAGGUAUGCAAUUUUCUGGAGAUGAGGCAGGGAGAUUUGCAAGGAAAAGUCACCUACCUCCCCAAGCUGGUGCCCACAGAGGGGGAGGCACCUCCACCUGACGCAGGUGUCUGAGCAGCAGUCCAGAGAGGUUUACUCAGGGGAUUUGGGGAGCGCACACUCUGGAGCAGAAGUACAGGUAUGUGCCCGAAUCCUGCCUCGUGAUGGGCAUUCAUGAUACGAACCACACAGCCUUUAAAGAAAAGGUUUUAUAUGAAAGGUUCCAUUUUGUUUCUGUAUAAAGGCUUUUAUCCUGUAAGGAAAAAAAAAAAACACAAAACCCUAGACAUAAUAAAUGCCUGUUUUCUACAAAAACAAUGUCUAACUCUGGGUGGACUGAUCUCUUCUCAACAGCCCAGGGCAGGGCUGGUCCCUCAUUCACCUGUGUCCACAGGGCCGAAGACACUGCACACACUAGGACAGGAUUUGAUUGAAUUUAAAUCCUGCCACCCACCAAGGAGACCUCGGGAUAUUUAAUGUUUGAGGGCCACACUAAACGAUCACUGCAGAGAACCACCUCUUUUCUUUACUGUAGUUUAAGUAUGAUAAGUGGGCUUUGCUAUUACUUAUUGGAAAAACCAGUAAGAAAAGCUAAUUUUCAGGCUUCAAUGUGAUUUGACAUGCAAACGGGAAGUUUUGCCAGGGGUUAAUAAAGGUUGUGAAUUCCAAAUUCCUAGCCGAAUAUGGCUUUGCUGGUAAGCCCCCUGGAAGGGAGGUUGGGAGGGCUGACCAGAUGGUCAUCGGGGCACUGGGAUGGAGGCACGCUGGGGCCUGACUGCCUGCUCUGCUGGAGACUGCAGAAUGGAUGGCAGAUCCACAGUGCAUCCCCCUUCCAAACCCAGGAGGCAUCUGUCGCCUUCUCUUUGGUAGACAGUCUGGAGACAGCAGAAACCCUCUGCUCUAUUUUUU